rnacentral:lncRNA from 1 species
AUGUGGUCCAUGACAAACACAUGAACUCACAACACAUAGCAUAGCAUCAUAUCAUAUGGUCCACGUGAUACACACAUGACCCCUCAUGCAACAUAUAUCAUGGAUGAACCUGUCACCUACAGCCUACAACAUAGCAGAACAUGCCAUGAGCAACUGUGCCAAGGGCCACUCUUGGUCGCUCAGCUCAUCUCAUAUCAGUACAUAUCAUGCCAUCUCGCAGCUAAGGGACUAUCAACAUCCAUAAUACAACAUAAAUGCACAUGCAUCACACAUGGCAUUACACAUCAUCAUACAAGACAGGACUCCUCAUCCUAUCCUAGUGGACAUGAUCUUACUCUUAAUCUUUCUUAAUGUGCUUGCCCUCCUAACAUCUAG